UGGGGAAUCUUGCACAAUGGGGGCAACCCUGAUGCAGCGACGCCGCGUGAGCGAUGAAGCCCUUCGGGGCGUAAAGCUCUCUCGACCGGAACGAUAAUGACGGUACCGGGAGAAGAAGCUGCGGCUAACUACGUGCCAGCAGCCGCGGUAAUACGUAGGCAGCAAGCGUUGUUCGGAGUUACUGGGCGUAAAGAGUGCGUAGGCGGUUUUCUAAGUUCGGUGUGAAAUCUCCCGGCUUAACUGGGAGGGUGCGCCGAAGACUGGGAAGCUGGAGUGUGGGAAAGGCAGGCGGAAUUCCUGGUGUAGCGGUGAAAUGCGUAGAUAUCAGGAGGAACACCGGCGGUGUAGACGGCUUGCUAGACCAUAACUGACGCUGAGGCACGAAAGCGUGGGUAGCAAACA
rnacentral:rRNA from 1 species